rnacentral:sRNA from 1 species
GUUUUAGUUUUCAACAAAAAAGAAACAGAGAUUCGAAGCCAACAACAACAGUUGGUAGAAUCAUUGCAUAAAGUUUUGGGAGGAAACCAGACCCUUACUGUAAAUGUAGAGGGCACUAAAACAUUGCCAGAUGAUCAGACAGAAGUUGUUAUUUAUGUUGUUGAGCGUUCGCCAAAUGGUACUUCAAGAAGAGUUCCAGCUACAACGCUAUAUGCCCAUUUUGAACAAGCCAAUAUAAAAACACAAUUGCAGCAACUUGGUGUAACCCUUUCUAUGACUAGAACAGAACUUUCUCCUGCACAGAUCAAACAGCUUUUACAGAAUCCUCCUGCUGGUAUGUUUCUAGAAUCAGAGUUCAAAAAAAAAGAAAGAUUUAGAACUAAACACUCCCCCUAUUUCAGAGGUGUUGGUUGGUUAUUAAUGCUAAUAAAAUUAGUAUCAUCACAUAUCUACUUAUUUGGGAAAUAGUUUUAAAUAUUUGUAUUCAUUUAGUUUUUUAUUAUAUAGCUAAUAUGUAUAUGUUAAAAUAG